rnacentral:rRNA from 1 species
UACCAGCACCCCGAGGUGUCGGGACGAUUCUUGGGCCUUAAGCAUCCGUAGCCUGUUCUGCAAGUCCUCCGUUAAAUCCACCCGCUUAACGGAUGGGCUGCGGGGGAUACUGCAGAGCUAGGAGGCGGGAGAGGCAAACGGUACUCAGUGGGUAGGGGUAAAAUCCAUUGAUCUACUGAAGACCACCAGUGGCGAAGGCGGUUUGCCAGAACGCGCUCGACGGUGAGGGAUGAAAGCUGGGGGAGCAAACCGG